rnacentral:rRNA from 1 species
CGGCUUAUAGCUUUCGUAGGUGACCUGAGGAGGAUCAUUAUUGAAUAAAGCUUGGUUAGGUUGUCGCUGGCUCUCCGGGGCAUGUGCACGCCUGACGCCAAUCUUUUCACCACCUGUGCACAUUUUGUAGGCUUGGAUAAAUAUGUCUCGAGGAAGCUCGGUUUGAGGACUGCCGUACUGCAAAAGCCAGGCUUUCCUUGUAUUUUUCCAGCCUAUGCAUUUUAUUAUACACUCGGUAUGUCAUGGAAUGUUAUUUGGUUGGCUUAAUUGCCAGUAAACCUUAUACAACUUUCAACAACGGAUCUCUUGGCUCUCGCAUCGAUGAAGAACGCAGCGAAAUGCGAUAAGUAAUGUGAAUUGCAGAAUUCAGUGAAUCAUCGAAUCUUUGAACGCACCUUGCGCUCCUUGGUAUUCCGAGGAGCAUGCCUGUUUGAGUGUCAUGAAAUUCUCAACCUUUUCAGGCUUAUUUGUUGAAUAGGCUUGGAUUUUGGGAGUUGUUGCAGGCUGCUCAGAAGUCUGCUCUCCUUAAAUGUAUUAGCGGGGCCCUUGUUGUCUAGCAUUUGGUGUGAUAAUUAUCUACGACCAUUGUGAACAAUGUAAUAGGUCGGCUUCUAAUCGUCUCGUAAAGAGACAAUCUCUGACAUUUUGACCUCAAAUCAGUGUAGGACUACCCGCUGAACUUAAGCAUAUCAAUAAGCGGAGGAAACAGAAACUAACAAGGAUUCCCCUAGUAACUGCGAGUGAAGCGGGAGAAGCUCAAAUUUAAAAUCUGAUGGUCUUUAUGGGAAA